UCAGUUCGGACUGUAGGCUGCAACUCGCCUACACGAAGCUGGAAUCGCUAGUAAUCGCGGAUCAGCACGCCGCGGUGAAUACGUUCCCGGGCCUUGUACACACCGCCCGUCACACCAUGAGAGUCUGUAACACCCAAAGCCGGUGGGAUAACCUUUAUAGGAGUCAGCCGUCUAAGGUAGGACAGAUGAUUAGGGUGAAGUCGUAACAAGGUAAC
rnacentral:rRNA from 1 species